rnacentral:rRNA from 1 species
GAUCAUGGCUCAGGAUGAACGCUGGCUACAGGCUUAACACAUGCAAGUCGAGGGGAAACGACGGGGAAGCUUGCUUCCCCGGGCGUCGACCGGCGCACGGGUGAGUAACGCGUAUCCAACCUGCCUCUGACCGAGGGAUAACCCGUCGAAAGUCGGCCUAAUACCUCAUGGCAUCGUCUGCGGGCAUCCAACGACGAUUAAAGAUUUCAUCGGUCAGGGAUGGGGAUGCGUCUGAUUAGCUUG